rnacentral:misc_RNA from 1 species
GUGUCAAUGUGAAUUGUAUAUGUUUUGUAUGUUACAUCAUUACAUAUCAUUUUAUAUUGACACAGAUUACUUAAAGAAGUCAUCGCAAUGGAAAAAGAAGUAGGCUAUUCCCUCUCAAAAUAUCAAAUAAGGGAAUUCAAGGUGUUUCCCUCGCUUAAAAGAGUUCGUAAAAACCAGCUGUUUAUGACUCAACCGUGAUGUCUUCUUUUGUCUCCUCAAUUAUCUUGUCAGGAACAACUUUUGCUGUAACAUGCUCCUGUUUAGAUCUGUCCUUGGCCUUGCGAGUGCCGUUAAUGUUCUGUGCACUGUUCUGAACCUUAGUUUUGGCUGUGGCGGCGAGUUUUGGCUGUGGCGGCGAUAUUCAACAAAUCUUCUUUGUGGUUACCCAUGCUGUGCCGAGCACAAUGUUUCCCCACGUCAUCUUUAGAUGACUGAAUUGCAUCACUGCAGCUCUUUCUCCGGUUUAGUUUUGGUGACACCGGUCGAGUCAAUGGCAGCUUCUUGAGUUCAACCUUAGGUGGAGGUGGCUCAUAAUAGAAACUAGGAACGGGUUUUGCUUUAAUCACCAUGCUCUUUCUAAGCUGCUUGAUGGCUGCUUGUUGCUCUUCCUUGGACCUUGCCUCGGCCUGGUUUCGCUCUGCUUCCAAAGCCCGGUGUUUUUCCUCUAGUUUUGCAUAGAACUCCUUUCUUUUCUCUGCACGUUCGGUAGAUCUAAAGGUAGGAGCUGUUCCAAUGGUUAUAGAUUUAACAGUUCUCACUGAUGCAGCUGAGGACGCAACAGAACAAUUAUCUUCUUCAUCAGGAAGCUUCUUAUUAUCAGGGUUCGAUGGCUUCCUUGCUGUAGAAGGUGAAUUAGGCUGUGAGUUCUUUGUAGCAAUAGGGGAACUCAAAUUAUUCCCAUUUUUUGAAGUGUUCACACCAGCACGUUUUUCAGUUGCCAGAGCAAAUGGCUGGGGGAUAGUAUGCUGUCCCUGUGCAUAUCUCGCUCCACCAGAUUUUGAAGCAGGAAAACUGGAAUUUUUAUCAUCGUUCGACUUCAGAGCUCCAGGUUUUUCAUUUUUACCCUCAGCCUGGUCAGGGUUAAAAUUCGUGUUUUUUAUGCCAAGCACAUCUUGUUUCUGGUUAUG